rnacentral:rRNA from 1 species
GAUGAACGCUGGCGGCGCGCCUAACACAUGCAAGUCGAACGAUUAAAGCACCUGUGAGGUGUGUAUGAAGUGGCGAACGGAGGAGUAACACGUGUGCAACCUGCCAUCGUCUGGGGGAUAGCCUCGGGAAACCGAGGAUAAUACCCGAUACUUCACGUGAGCCGCAUGACUCAAUUGAGAAAGGGAUGCGGAGACGGAUGGGCAGGCGGCCUGUGGGGUGAUGGGUGGGGUAGAGGCCUACCAAGGCCGGAUGGGUAGCUGGGUUGAGAGCCUGACCAGCCAGAUUGGGACUGAGAUCCGGCCCAGACUCCUACGGGAGGCAGCAGUGGGGAAUCUUGCACAAUGGGCGAAAGCCUGAUGCAGCGACGCCGCGCCGGGACGAAGGCCUUUGGGUUGUAAACCGCUUUCAGCAGGGACGAGGCGUAAGUGACGGUACCGGCAGAAGAAGCCCCGGCUAACUACGUGCCAGCAGCCGCGGUAAUACGUAGGGGGCAAGCGUUAUCCGGAUUCAUUGGGCGUAAAGCGCUCGUAGGCGGUCUGUUAGGUCGGGAGUUAAAUCCGGAGGCUCAACCUCCGUCCGCUCCCGAUACCGGCAGACUUGAGUUUGGUAGGGGAAGGUGGAAUUCCUAGUGUAGCGGUGGAAUGCGCAGAUAUUAGGAAGAACACCGGUGGCGAAGGCGGGCUUCUGGGCCAUUACUGACGCUGAGGAGCGAAAGCUAGGGGAGCAAACAGG